ACCCACCAUCAGUCACCUGAUACUGCCGGAGAAGUAUACCCCACCAUUUAGUCACCUGAUACUGCCAGAGAAGUAUACCCCACCAAUCUGAUACUACCGGAGAAGUAUACCCCACGUCACCUGAUACUGCUGGAGAAGUAUACCCCACCAUUCAGUCACCUGAUACUGCCGGAGAAGUAUACCCCACCAUUCAGUCACCUGAUACUGCCAGAGAAGUAUACCCCACCAUUCAGUCACCUGAUACUGCCAGAGAAGUAUACCCCACCAUUCAGUCACCUGAUACUGCCAGAGAAGUAUACCCCACCAAUCUGAUACUGCCGGAGAAGUAUACCCCACCAUUUAGUCACCUGAUACUGCCGGAGAAGUAUACCCCACCAAUCUGAUACUACCGGAGAAGUAUACCCCACAUCACCUGAUACUGCCGGAGAAGUAUACCCCACCAUUCAGUCACCUGAUACUGCCAGAGAAGUAUACCCCACCAUUCAGUCACCUGAUACUGCCGGAGAAGUAUACCCCACAUCACCUGAUAGUGCCGGAGAAGUAUACCCCACAUCACCCGAUAUUGCCGGAGAAGUAUACCCCACCAACAGAGUUGUUACAUCUGGACUUUUAGCAAUCCCAACUUUGAAUUCCUGUGCAGUGAAAAUUUUCCAUUCUUCAACCCAGUACAAACACAAGCUAUGAGUGACAGCAUUGGUAGGCCAGUGUGGAUAAGUAUUUCCUGUCAACAUUCAUCCAAUUGUUAACUCAAAUUUGAAAAAAAAAAGAAAUGGAGAGAAGGGCUUGGAAAUGGAGAGAAGGGCUUGGUGAUGUUGCCCAACAGCCUGCUGCAGGUGCAGCAAAGGAUGCUUUUAGCAAAGAGAUGUAGGAUGUGGCGCAAGUAGAAACUGACAAGGCAGCGAAGCAUUCUUGUGUAGAUGAUGACAAUGACUGUAUCUCUACAAAAUGAGGAAAAAAGGUCAACACAGUCAUCAUCAACACUCUGUCAACAGAACUGCUGUCAGAACAAGGAAAAAACAGUUUCCAUGCCAAACUAGAACUGGAAUGUCAUGUGCAGUAGACACAGCUUGGCACAAAAGGAGAUUUAACAGUUUAACAUGUAAACUCUAAUUCUGUAGUGUUAUCCAGCCUAUUCAGCUCAAUGGGUGAGAGUAUAUUUAUCUAGGAGUUUGUCACGAGGAUACAGUUGAUGUUGAGAAGCUGCCAGAUCCUGUUUCAAGAGGGGAGUUCAAGCCUGUAACCCUGGUUCCUGGAGAGCCAACAUACAUUACAUUUGAUCUGGAAACUACCAAACCUCAUUUGAGGCGGACAGUUUCCUCAUCUCACACUGAUAGCUGCUGCAGAGCUGAACAGCCGGACAGUUUCCUCAUAUCACACUGAUAGCUGCUGCACAGCUGAACAGUGGACAUUCCUUCAGUACAUACGUUUUACCUAAAACACUGAUCACCUCAACAGCCCAACAUGUUACUGGAAUUGUAAUGUCAGGUAGUAACUCUGUCAGUAAAUGGAAUGCCAGUGGAAGCAGAAUUUAUAACUCCCAUCACUGGAAAAGUUUUGUAAAUGGCUAGAACAAUUUGACAGUGUCAUUCUGGUGGCCCGCAGUGGCAGAAGAUUUGACUUUCCAGUUCUGAUGAAAGCAGUAGCUUGUUGUAAAAUUCUUGAGGGCUUUUUUAAAUAAGUGUCUGGAUCUGUUGAUUCUCUAACAGUUUUACGCAAACUUUUUCCUAGCAGUUUCUCGUACAAACAAGAUCUUGUCCGGGAAUUUUGAGUGAAAGUUAUGGAGAGUGAAAGCUAUGGAGCACAGAAUGCCAAGGAGGAUGUUAAAGCAUUAGGAAAUCUUUGAAAACACUUGUCAAUAUUGCCUAAAACAAUGCUUUCAUUUAAUUAUUCUCCAAAAUCUGUACAACAAAUAUUCAGGCCUCAACCUAAAUCAUUUGAAAAUAAUUGUCAGGCACAAGGGAGAAGAUGGGCUGAGGAACACGUACAUUGUUGAUAUAGCGAAGGACAACCAUGUGUUACAAACACAAAGAGGGCAUUAGAGACAUUUAUUCCAAACCUUGUGGAGUACUUAAAAAUGAUUUUAUCAUACCUCAUAGCUUAUGCUCCAUAUUUUAAUUUUAAAAGAGUAAGAAAUGUUCAAAAAUGAUGUGUCUUGAUCUGUAUGUCAAGUUUUAUGCUUUGAUUUGGUUAUCUUUUUUGAACUCGUAGAACAUAUUAUUAUAUGUAUAUGAACAUUUUACUUUUUCAAUGAGAUGUGGAACCAAAAUUUGUAGUCCUGUUUGGCGCCAUAUAACCUAUACCCAAAUAAAUGAAUAAAAUAAUCAAAAGGAUUAUUACUACUACAUUGUAUAUUUAUUUUUAUGUACAAGUGUUACAUGCAUUUUUCAUUAAUGAAAUUUAAAAAAAAUGGUAGUUCUUUGUUUUAAAAUCCUAUGAAUUUAGGUUUUACAGUAUAAAGCUUUUGUUUACAUUUUACCCCUACUCUAAAACAAGAUAUUUUUAGAAAAUCAGAUGGUAAAAAGUAGAUAAUUCUUUGUGUAUUUGUUUCAUACAAUGGUACAAAUAAUUAGUAAUUAGUCACUAAAAAUGUAACAUUUAUAACCUUUAGAAAGAAAAAAAAUGUUGAGACCAGAAUUUUUU
rnacentral:lncRNA from 1 species